UGGGGAAUAUUGGACAAUGGGCGAAAGCCUGAUCCAGCAAUACCGCGUGUGUGACGAAGGCCUUCGGGUCGUAAAGCACUUUCAGCAAGGAAGAUGGCUGAUGUGUUAAUAGCACAAUCAGUUGACGUUACUUGCAAAGGAAGCACCGGCUAACUCUGUGCCAGCAGCCGCGGUAAUACAGAGGGUGCAAGCGUUAAUCGGAAUUACUGGGCGUAAAGCGCAUGUAGGCGGAUGCUUAAGUCAGAUGUGAAAUCCCGGAGCUCAACUCCGGAACUGCAUUUGAUACUGGGCAUCUAGAGUAUGGUAGAGGAAAGUGGAAUUUCUGGUGUAGCGGUGAAAUGCAUAGAUAUCAGAAGGAACAUCAGUGGCGAAGGCGGCUUUCUGGACCAAUACUGACGCUGAGAUGCGAAAGCGUGGGGAGCAAACAGG
rnacentral:rRNA from 1 species